rnacentral:rRNA from 1 species
AAUUUUGGACAAUGGGGGCAACCCUGAUCCAGCCAUGCCGCGUGCGGGAAGAAGGCCUUCGGGUUGUAAACCGCUUUUGUCAGGGAAGAAAAGCUCUGAGCUAAUACCUCGGGGUAAUGACGGUACCUGAAGAAUAAGCUCCGGCCAACUACGUGCCAGCAGCCGCGGUAAGACGUAGGGGGCGAGCGUUGUCCGGAAUUAUUGGGCGUAAAGGGCUCCUAGGCGGUUCAGUAAGUCGACUGUGAAAAUCCAAGGCUCAACCUUGGGACGCCAGUCGAUACUGCUGUGACUCGAGUUCGGUAGAGGAGUGUGGAAUUCCUGGUGUAGCGGUGAAAUGCGCAGAUAUCAGGAGGAACACCAACGGCGAAGGCAGCACUCUGGGCCGAUACUGACGCUGAAGAGCGAAAGCGUGGGGAGCAAAC